UGAGGAAUAUUGGUCAAUGGGGGCAACCCUGAACCAGCCAAGUCGCGUGAAGGAUGAAGGUCUUAUGGAUUGUAAACUUCUUUUACACGGGAAUAAAGUGGGGGACGUGUCCCCCUUUGCAUGUACCGUGUGAAUAAGGAUCGGCUAACUCCGUGCCAGCAGCCGCGGUAAUACGGAGGAUCCGAGCGUUCUCCGGAUUUAUUGGGUUUAAAGGGUGCGCAGGCGGGAUGUUAAGUCGGCGGUGAAAUUUUGCAGCUCAACUGUAAAAGUGCCUUUGAUACUGGCCUCCUUGAGUGUGGAUGAAGUAGGCGGAAUUUGUGGUGUAGCGGUGAAAUGCUUAGAUAUCACGAGGAACUCCGAUUGCGCAGGCAGCUUACUAAGCCACAACUGACGCUCAUGCACGAAGGCGUGGGGAUCAAACA
rnacentral:rRNA from 1 species